rnacentral:rRNA from 1 species
AGAAUCAACGCUGGCGGCGGUGCCUAACACAUGCAAGUCGCACGAGAAAGGGGAGCAAUCCCUGAGUAAAGUGGCGCACGGGUGAGUAACACGUGAAUAAUCUACCUCCGAGUGGGGAAUAACUGAGAGAAAUCUUAGCUAAUACCGCAUAACACUUACGAGUCAAAGCAGCAAUGCGCUUGGAGAGGAGUUCGCGGCCGAUUAGUUAGUUGCGGGGUAAUGGCCACCAAGACGAUGAUCGGUA